rnacentral:rRNA from 1 species
GUAUGUGGCUUAAUUUGACUCAACGCGGAAAAGCUUAUCUGGUCCGGACACAGUGAGGAUUGACAGACAGUUGGCAGGAGGGUUCUUGGUAAAAACAAAUGAGAGAGUUGAAGUUCUUUCAUGAUCUUGUGAGAGGUGGUGCAUGGCCGUUCUUAGUUCGUGUAGUGAUAUGUCUGCCUAAUCGCGUCACGAUAACCUAUUGGUCGACAACCCAAUUAUCACAACUGCAGCAUAACUCCCCUUGGGUGGGCGAGGCUCUGUGUAGGAUAGACCUCUGAACAGUACGCAACGAACGCGAUCGUAAUCCCUUGUUGAGUGGCCAUCCUGUAAGCUGCUGGAUUUGAAACCCAGUGGUAUUAUCUCAGCCACAGAUUUUCUGGUUGUAAUGGGCCAGUUUUGAAACUCGGGGAACAUCUGUGACUUUCUUUCUUAACGCAGAGGAAGGUUAUGGCAAUAACA